AGAAAUUUAUCAUGGGGAUGCUCACAAAUUUUGGAAGCAUGGGACUAGAUCGCAUUCAUAAUACUCUCAAGAUGUUUUGUGUAGCUGAUCCCCAAUAUGAUAAAACAUUACAACAGCUUCAGAGCUUCUUAUCUGGUCUAGUUUCUGAAGAGAAGUUGGAACUAAGAGAUGGAAUGUAUGUUCUGAAGAAACAAUGAAUUGACUGAGUGGCAAUACGUUCUCCACUGAAACAUUAAGCACAUGGCAUUGGAAGCAUUGCUUCAAUGUCAAGAUGAGUUGUAGUCAGUCUGAAAGAGACUCGUGACGAUGGCAAUCAUUGUGGGAUGAGUGUCGCAAUUAUCUCAAGUUUGGUUGGAACACUCCCUGAGCAUCAUCCCGUGUGGUGAUUCAAGGUUGAGUGUCUUUUGGGAAUGGCUUUCCAAUUGACUUCUAGUUCUGGAGAGCCAUUUUUGGGUUAUUCUUAAAGAAAAUCACCUACAUCUCCGCGUGGUCAAAAGAGUACUCUGGUGUAUGCAUAUGCUCCCGGAAACGGAGUUCUGUGAGUGCAGGAAGUUAAAGAUGGUAAUGAGUUAGUUCUAUUCAUGACAUGUUCCUGCGAGACAUUAAUAAUGUUAAUCUUAUUAUGAUAUUUGUUGAUACAUUAUGAGUGCUGCACCCACGCUUGUAUGAUAGUGAUAGUGACGUUUAAGAUGUACCCUA